AGAGUUUGAUCCUGGCUCAGGAUGAACGCUAGCGACAGGCUUAACACAUGCAAGUCGAGGGGCAGCGGGGGUAGCAAUACCCGCCGGCGACCGGCGCACGGGUGAGUAACGCGUAUGCAACUUACCUAUCAGAGGGGGAUAACCCGGCGAAAGUCGGACUAAUACCGCAUGAAGCAGGGAUCCCGCAUGGGAAUAUUUGCUAAAGAUUCAUCGCUGAUAGAUAGGCAUGCGUUCCAUUAGGCAGUUGGCGGGGUAACGGCCCACCAAACCGACGAUGGAUAGGGGUUCUGAGAGGAAGGUCCCCCACAUUGGUACUGAGACACGGACCAAACUCCUACGGGAGGCAGCAGUGAGGAAUAUUGGUCAAUGGCCGAGAGGCUGAACCAGCCAAGUCGCGUGAGGGAUGAAGGUUCUAUGGAUCGUAAACCUCUUUUAUAAGGGAAUAAAGUGCGGGACGUGUCCUAUUUUGUAUGUACCUUAUGAAUAAGGAUCGGCUAACUCCGUGCCAGCAGCCGCGGUAAUACGGAGGAUCCGAGCGUUAUCCGGAUUUAUUGGGUUUAAAGGGUGCGUAGGCGGCCUUUUAAGUCAGCGGUGAAAGUCUGUGGCUCAACCAUAGAAUUGCCGUUGAAACUGGGGGGCUUGAGUAUGUUUGAGGCAGGCGGAAUGCGUGGUGUAGCGGUGAAAUGCAUAGAUAUCACGCAGAACCCCGAUUGCGAAGGCAGCCUGCCAAGCCAUGACUGACGCUGAUGCACGAAAGCGUGGGGAUCAAACAGGAUUAGAUACCCUGGUAGUCCACGCAGUAAACGAUGAUCACUAGCUGUUUGCGAUACACUGUAAGCGGCACAGCGAAAGCGUUAAGUGAUCCACCUGGGGAGUACGCCGGCAACGGUGAAACUCAAAGGAAUUGACGGGGGCCCGCACAAGCGGAGGAACAUGUGGUUUAA
rnacentral:rRNA from 1 species